UUAAUCUGUGCACUAUCCUCCGCAGGGUGCAUAUCUCUGUGGCAGAGGAUACCCCGGGCACAGUGGAUGACAGUGGCUGUGGCUGGACUCGGGAUCUAUACAACCUGGCGUUUGGCCGUGGCUUCCAGGACAGGCUGGAUGCAGAGUGAAGUCCUCUCCUCACUGUCAAUGUUUGCAGAUGUCUUCUUGUAUAAACUUCGUAUUUCUUGAGACUUUCAAUUAGGUUUUUACUUAACUGGACUUUUAAAAUUGCCAUGCACAUAACUCUACCAGUUAGAAUCUUGAGCUAACAUGGGUUUUUGGUUUUUGGUUUUUGGUUUUACUUUGAUGAAUGUUUAACAUUUGCAUGCUGGAUGUGGGGGUGGAGGUCAUUUAUCUGCUUUUCAUUGCCUUCUUGGUUAUACUUAGUGACUUUCAGGUAAGGUGUGGAAGGCGUGGUACAGGGUGAAUUGCAGGCCGCACUGUGGCGCCGUGGAGGACAGGUGCGGGCUGCAGUGGUGUGCACAGUGGAUGAGAGACAAGAGAGACUUCCAUCCUUGAGGGA
rnacentral:lncRNA from 1 species